CUUCUUAUUUAUAUACAUAUAAAUUUUGCAACGGACAAAAAUAAACACAAAUUUGAAUGGUUGCAGAAUUUUACAUGGUGGCUGAGGCGAGAGGACCAUUAGUGUCAAGAUGGUGCAGGACUGUGAACCACUGCACCAAAUGUGAGUGCCUUAAUAACUUUUGCACUUGUACCGGAAGGCUUCCACCAGCUACCGCCCUCACCCCCGCAUCUCAGCCUUCGCCUCUACUUUGAUUUAGAAUAUAAUCCUACAAUGAACUAUAUGUUUUCCCUACUUAUGAUAUACUACAACAUUCUGAAAUUGUUUUACAUGAUGUAAUCAAAAGACGUGAUCGUUGCUUUCAAAUAUUUACAAAAUAAAAUCUCACAUGAGCCUAGUUUUUUCAUCUGAGCAUAUCUCCGGAAUGUAUUUGUAGUCCGCUAAGCGCAGGCGAUAUUGUGAAUCCGUUUCCGUCCAUACGGUACGAAGGAUGCGCGAGCGGGACUGGUCGGUCCGGAAUAGGAGGAACCUCGAUGUCUCCUUCAAGCAUUUUCAAUGCAUCUAAUAUUGUUGGCCUUAAAGCAACCAAUACAUGGGCACACAAUAUCCCAACUUGCAAGAAUCUCUCCAUUAUCCCUUUCGGAUUCGAGAGCCCUGAGCCUUCCUCUCUCAACAAAGACUGCUCAAGAGCUUCCUCUGUUUUCCCUGCUUUUACCAAUGACCAAGCCCAAUCUGUGAUCAGAAAAGUGUUUGGUGAUCCAGAAGUAGACAGAUCAAGAGCUUUCCUUCCACACAUGAUCUCCAAUAUAACAACCCCGAAGCUAUACACAUCGCUUUUCUCGGUUAAUUGACCAUAGAGGGCAUACUCUGGAGCCAAGUAACCGUGUGUUCCCGCAACUCUGGUAGUGAGAUGAGACUCUCCUUCUCUACUCUGUUUAGCUAAACCGAAAUCCGCAACUCUCGCUCUCAUAUCGACAUCUAACAAUAUGUUCGUACCUUUAAUAUCCCGGUGAUAAAUAGCGGGUUUCACACCGUAAUGCAAAUAAGCCAACCCUUUAGCCACAUCCAAAAUGAUGCUCUUUCUCUGAGGCCAGCUCAAUGGCAUCUUCGUAGUCUCACCUCGAGGAAACAAGUGAUCAUCGAGAUUUCCAUUAGACAUGUAAUCAUAAACAAGAUAUCUCUGACUCUCACUAUCAUCAUCCACCAUACUACAACCUCUAAGCGGAACAAGAUUCCUAUGUUUCAAAUUGCUAAUGAUCUCAACCUCAUUACGAAACUCUGCAUCCCCUUGAAACUCAGACUCUAUCACCUUCUUAACCGCGAUAACCGAUCCAUCUGGUAAAACCCCUUUGUAAACAAAACCAAACCCGCCUCGACCGAUGAAAUUCUUCUGCGAGAAGUUAUUCGUAGCUUUCUCUAGUUCCUCGAUUUUGAACCAGAUAGAGCCAGUGUUUGGUCUCCAUUUCGGUCUAGACCCUUGAUCCUCCCAACCAACCUCUCCUCCUUUAACAGCUUUACCAAACCGGAAAUACAAACAAAUCAAACCGGCAAUAACCAGAGCCCCGAAAAUAGCUCCGGUUAUCCCUAAAGCAAGAGCCACCGUGUGUCUUUUCUUCUUUGAGUUCAAUGGAGAUCUCAAACUCAAAGAGAAGAGACAAGACAAAGCAUCAUCACUCUCAGGUCCUUUCUUGUUAACAAUACCAGCAGCGUAAGUAACCACAAAAUGGUAACAAUAAACACCGUGAGAGCUAUUACCGUCCAAAGUGAUGAGCUGUUUUUGAACCCUAAACCCAGCCGCCACGCAAGCGUCGCAUCGCGUUAGAUCAGUGAGACCACUGCUACAGGCGGAGUCAAGCGCCGUAGAUGGACCGAGACGAGAUACCCAAUCUUGAGUCGUUUGGAUUCCAGCACAGGUUUCGUUAUUGAUGACGAACUGAUUCGGAUCGAAACAGAGAGAGGUGAGAUUCGAAGAUAGAGAGAGUGAACUAAGCUUCGUUUGGAGAUUGUUGAGACAAGAGAUUGAAGUAGCGAGAUUUGGGAGACGGAAAUUGGAAGUUUGUUUGAGACGAUGAGCUAGAGGGAUUCCGAUUAGAGUUAAAAGAGAUUGGCAACAACUGUUCUUGCUAUCGGCUGAUUUGUCGGACUUUUGACAAUCUGUUGUGUUCCAUGGGAUUGUUAGGACAUGAGAGAAAUCUAAAGGACAAGUUUGUGAUGGAGAUUGAGCAACGCAGUUUGUGAGAUACAGGAAUGAAAGAAGAAGAAAGAGAAUCGAGUUAGGCAUGUUUAUGUUGGAUUAUGGUGAAAUCGAAGAUAUGGGUUUGGAGAAUCUGAGGUUUUUUGGUGGUGGAAAGUGAGUGAUUGAUUUUGGC